rnacentral:rRNA from 1 species
ACUCAAAGGAAUUGACGGGGACCCACACAAGCGGUGGAACAUGGGGUUUAAUUCGAUAGUAAACGGAGAACCUCACCCAGGCUUGACAUCUCGGGAACCUGGUCGAAAGGCCGGGGUGCCGCAAGGAACCCGAAGACAGGCGCUGCACGGUUGUCGUCAGCUCGUGCCUUGAGGUGUACUGUUAAGUCAGCGAACGAGCGCAACCCUCAUCCUAUGUUGUUUUUUCAUGGGAGACUGCCGCCUCCAAGGCGGAGGAAGGUGAGGAUGACGUCAAAUCAGCGUGGCCCUUAUGCCUGGGGCUACACCCAUGUUACAAUGACCGAUACAAUGGGCAGCAAACCAGCAAUGGUAAGCGAAUCCCACCAAAGUCGGCCUCAGUUCGGAUUGCAGGCUGCAACUCGCCUGCAUGAAGUUGGAAUCGCUAGUAACCGUGAAUCAGCGAUGUCACGGUGAAUAUGUUCCUGGGUCUUGUACACACCGCCCGU